UUACCAGACUCCUACGGGAGGCAGCAGUGGGGAAUAUUGCACAAUGGGGGAAACCCUGAUGCAGCGACGCCGCGUGAGUGAAGAAGUAUUUCGGUAUGUAAAGCUCUAUCAGCAGGGAAGAAAAUGACGGUACCUGAUUAAGAAGCCCCGGCUAACUACGUGCCAGCAGCCGCGGUAAUACGUAGGGGGCAAGCGUUAUCCGGAUUUACUGGGUGUAAAGGGAGCGUAGACGGCAGCGCAAGUCUGAAGUGAAAUGCCGGGGCUUAACCCCGGAACUGCUUUGGAAACUGUGCAGCUAGAGUGCAGGAGAGGUAAGUGGAAUUCCUAGUGUAGCGGUGAAAUGCGUAGAGAUCUGGAGGAAUACCGGUGGCGAAGGCGGCCCCCUGGACGAAGACUGACGCUCAGGUGCGAAAGCGUGGGGAGCAAACAGGAUUAGAUACCCCGGUA
rnacentral:rRNA from 1 species